CAUGCCAUUGAAAGCAAGUCCAACCAUUACUCAUGUCGAUGAAGAAAAAUCGUGGAAGAGGAAUGAAAAGAGGUGGGGUAUUUUUUUUAAAUAUUGUUUUGGAACUUUGACUAUGACGGAUGACGACAAUCAGCUACUAUGUUACAGUUUUAUACUGAUUUUUUAUAUAAGUAUAGUUGUUUUAUUCAAAUAUUGUAACGAUUUGUUUCACAAAGGUAUCCAUAUAUGUUAAUUUGUAAGUUACACAUGUAUUUGUAUAGCUAAAGAACUUCAGCGAACACGUUAUAUAUUACAUUUUUGGACGUGUGUUGUAAACAUCAAACAAAUAAAUAUCAACACUAAAGUUAUGGAAGCCAGAACUAGUAUUUUAAGUGUCAGCCGUCGGGCACACACUCUUUCUUUCACAAUUUAUUGUUAGUAUGUUUUGAUCAUAGCAGCCGCCGUCCCUGAUAUCCUCUAAGAAGCUUUAGUAAUAAAAUUUAAAGAAAAAAAUAUUUGACUUUCAGACUGAAUGCCCAGGGUGUGUGCAUUAGAACUCUUGAUGAGUUUAAUAAGAAAUUAACCAACAUCAAGAUGGACGUGAAGAGGAGGCGUCAGAUGGCAGCGCUGACAGGUGGUGUGACUCCGUAUCUGUUCUGAUACAUAGAAGGGCCACUUCUGGCCUAUAUAUCUACGGGGUGACUCCUCCAAAGUUCAAUGAGCCGGAGGAGAAGAAACAAGUCCAUCAUCUUUGGUGCUGCACCAUACUGCCAAAACAGCUACAUGUUCAUCGUUUGCAGUUAUGUCAAUUUACCUCCAACAUAGUGUUUCCUGCAAUGUCCCAGGGGUCUGCCAUGAUUCCAAAAAGUACAACACCAACUGCAGCAAAAGUGACAAGAGUUUCCAAGAUUCCAUCUACAAGCAACUUGAAAAGACUUCUUAAAUGCCAGAGUGAGCUCUAUGAGCAAAUAUUACAUCAACAAAAACUGACAAUUGACUGUCUCCUUUAUUACAAUUUAUUUCAUGAAUGAUAACCUAAAUAAAAUGUGACUCAGCAACUGUUUUAAAUCAACAAACAUUCUAACAUAAACCUUUGAAGUCUUAUAGUAGAAUCAUAUACCUGGAAGUCUUUGAUUAUUUUAUCUACUUAAAAAACUCACAAUCCACUUAAAUAUUGCUGACACUUGAA